GCAGGUCAUCACUGUGGGUAUAUAAGGACCUGCCCACCGUCAUCCUAGUACAGGCCACGUGAAGUUGUCACUUUGUGAACACCUCUCUUACAAACAUGAGAUCUCUGUGUCUGAUGUUGGUGGUGGUGACCCUGGUCGCCCUGAUGGGGUCAGCCGGAGCCAUGCCUGACCCCUACGCCCUGGCUGACCCUGACCCCGCAGCUGACCCACAGUUUGAAGAGCUUCACAAUUUUGGUCGGAGUUUCGUUCGGGGUCUUAUUCGCAGUAUUGGAAACCCCCUCAGAUUAUAGUUAACCUUAUAACCUGUUGCCCGUGACCGACAGUUUCCUCCCAGUCGAAGGAUUUUGUCUGGCAAACGGCCAACCAAAUGUUUACUUUACUGACAACCUCCAGCUUUUGUCUACUGGAGGAAGCUGGAUUAAUCUACUGAAGCAACUUUCUCUAUCAUCUUCUGAACCUUCAGCAUCUUCCCAGCAACCAGCAACUUCCAGCAUCUCCAAAUCCUGCAUCAUGUUACACUUCCAGCACCUCCACCAUGAUACCUGGUUACCUGGUUGAUGGGGUUCUGGGAGUUCUUCUACUCCCCAAGCCCGGCCCGAGGCCAGGCUUGACUUGUGAGAGUUUGGUCCACUGGGUGCUGGGGUAGCUGGAAAUUGGUAGUUUAGUAGUUUAUCAACUGUUGAACCGAAUAUUUUGAUAAAUAUAUAUAUUUUCUUA